UACGGAGGAUGCGAGCGUUAUCCGGAUUUAUUGGGUUUAAAGGGAGCGUAGACGGGUCCUUAAGUCAGUUGUGAAAGUUUACGGCUCAACCGUAAAAUUGCAGUUGAUACUGGGGACCUUGAGUGCGGCAGAGGCAGGCGGAAUUCGUGGUGUAGCGGUGAAAUGCUUAGAUAUCACGAAGAACUCCGAUUGCGAAGGCAGCUUGCUGGACCGUAACUGACGUUGAUGCUCGAAAGUGCGGGUAUCAAACAGG
rnacentral:rRNA from 1 species